CCGGCGCACGGGUGAGUAACACGUAUGCAAUCCACCUGUAACAGGGGGAUAACCCGGAGAAAUCCGGACUAAUACCCCAUAAUAUGGGCGCUCCGCAUGGAGGGCCCAUUAAAGAGAGCAAUUUUGGUUACAGACGAGCAUGCGCUCCAUUAGCCAGUUGGCGGGGUAACGGCCCACCAAAGCGACGAUGGAUAGGGGUUCUGAGAGGAAGGUCCCCCACAUUGGAACUGAGACACGGUCCAA
rnacentral:rRNA from 1 species